GGGCCAGACGGGCGGCUCGCGAGGCCUCUGCCGCCACCGGCCGCCUCUUUCUGGCCAGCCGAAGCGGAGAAGGCUCGAGGCCUGCCGGGCCAGCCGGCUUCGGGCACCCGGAGGGGUGCCCGCCCGCGGUAGCCAGCGGGCCGCGGACUUCCCGCCCUCGGCUGCUCCAAGGGGAGCUGUCCACGCUCGCCGCGCCCCGCGUGGGAAGGGGCCGCGUCUGCAGUUCGCCUCGCGCGAGGGAGGGGAAAUUGAGCGGAAACCCAGAGUCUUUCGGCACCUGUGAUGCUUGGGAGUCUGGUCCGGGGUGGGAAAGCAAGGAAGUCACCGGGCGUGAAGAGCUCCAAAUCAAAUCUAUUGUAUAGAAGGUGUCUAUGUAUGAAAUGAUUUGCUUCUUCUUUUGAUGUGAAGACUAAUAAAGAAAUAGAAAGAU